UAAGGAAUUUUCGGCAAUGGGGGCAACCCUGACCGAGCAACGCCGCGUGAGUGAUGAAGGCCUUUGGGUUGUAAAGCUCUGUUGCAAAGGAAGAAUCUUUCCAAGAGGAAAUGCUUGGAAACUGACGGUACUUUGCCAGAAAGUCACGGCUUACUACGUGCCAGCAGCCGCGGUAAUACGUAGGUGGCAAGCGUUAUCCGGAAUUAUUGGGCGUAAAGGGUGCGCAGGCGGUCUUUUAAGUUCGGGGUGAAAGCGUUGGGCUUAACCCAAUAAAGCCCUGAAAACUGAAAGACUUGAGUGCGGAAGAGGGCAGCGGAAUUCCAUGUGUAGCGGUAAAAUGCGUAGAUAUAUGGAGGAACACCGGCGGCGAAGGCGGCUGCCUGGUCCGUAACUGACGCUC
rnacentral:rRNA from 1 species